AUGGUCGCCCUUAGACCCCUUGUGAAACACAAGAUCGUCAAAAAGAGAACCAAGAAGUUCAUCCGGCACCAAACCAAUAUGUCAAAAUUAAGCGUAACUGGCAGAAACCCAGAGGUAUUGACAACAGGGUUCGUAGAAGGUUCAAGGGCCAGAUCUUGAUGCCUAACAUUGGUUAUGGGAACAACAAGAAAACAAAGCACACGCUGCCCAGUGGCUUCCGGAAGUUCCUGGUCCACAAUGUCAAGGAGCUGGAAGUGCUGCUGAUGUGCAACAAAUCUUACUGUGCUGAGAUCGCUCACAAUGUUUCCUCCAAGAACCGCAAAGCCAUCGUGGAAAGAGCUGCCCAGCUGGCCAUCAGAGUCACCACUCCCAAUGCCAGGCUGCGCAGCGAAGAAUAUGAGUAGACAGCUUAUGUACACGUUUUGUGUUUAAGUA